GUUAAAAUCGUUCUAAUUCCAGCAAGGCUUAGCCUCCCUGUCAACACUAGAAUGGUUUUUAGGCUCUUUGCCCUCUUUUCAAUUGCCAGUCUGAAAAGAUCAUCGUUUUUUUGGAGGACUUCAGAAAGUAGGCACCUAUAUUUAUUUCUUCUGCUCUGAAAUCUGAGGUAGAAGAGCAUGAUCGUAUGACUUUUCUAAGGACUCCACUCACUUUAAUGUGUCUGGUAAGAGGAAUGUCAGUAUGUGAAGGAAACACAAAGUAAAUGUAUUUUAUGACACCAGUAAGCUAUAUUUUUGGAUUCAUGGCAGAAUAUCAAAGCAUGCUUUCACAACCUAUUUUAUUUUUCCCUGUAUAUCUUUCUCAGCAAGAAGAUUGCAACCUUGCGGUACAUAUAUAAACAACUAAAACAAAGGUCUACAGUGAAUCUUUAACAAGUGCCUAGAUCUGAUUUCACAGUCAAGGUAUGGAUAAUUUUGUGGCCUUUCAAAGGCUGAAUAUAGAAAGUACAAUGUGAAAAAAAUGAGUGCCGUUAUGCUGCAACAUUAAUUGGUGAAUGUGUCACCAAUGCAACCUUGAGUUUUCAUUAUGUUGUUAAAAACCAGACUCAGAGAAGCACUCUGGAAAUCAAAGUGACAGUGUGUGAGAUAUCCUGCACCAAUGAGGAAAGCUGACAGACGAGUGGGCCAGUACGAUCCCAUCUUGCUGGUAUCCAUUGAUGUGUGCCUGGUUACCACAGUGAUCAGGCACUGGAAAGGGCUGCCCAAGGAGGUGGCUGAGUCACUAUCAACCUGGAGGUGUUCAAGAAAUGUUUAGAUGUUGAACUGAGGGAUAUGGUGUGGUGGAGAAAUUUUGGUGGUAGGUGUAUGAUUGGACUGGAUGAUCUUGGAGGCCUUUUCCAACCUUUUUCUUUGACUCUAGGAUUUUAUAUGAAUAGACUCCAGUGGGAUGGAUGGCCUUUUACUUGCAUAUAUUUCUUCGCCUCUUCAGUUGCCCCUCAGCAAUAAUAUUUGGAUUGUUACAGAACACUGAUUCUUCUGCAACCUUUAGGUAUCCCCACAAUUACCAGCAUUGCAGCAACCACUAUUGCUGCAUUAUCUCCAUUCCACACUCUCUUCUUUCCCAUUCUAAAGACAUUGCAAGAAGACAUUUAAAUGUGCCUCUUGUCCACUGAGCCAAGAAGUUAGCAGACUGUGCAGCACAGCAGAACCCUUCCAUAUCACGCAGGACAUAGUUCAAUGAUGGCAUUGAGUAAGCAGGUGAGGAGAUUGGGGUCAGCUCUUACUGGAUUUGGUGGUGGAGGCAGGAGCUGUUGUUGUUGGAAGUAAGCACAUGAUUAGCAAGAUGUGGAAAUAGCUCCAUGUAGAAACAGAGGGAUUUCCAAAACUGAUGGGGCACUAUUGCAUUCAAGCCAGCACUAGUGUAAUACGGAUGGAAAGCAGCUGGCCUUUCUGGGUACUGGCAUGAGCUGCAGAUCACGAGGUUCCCCUCUUACAUAAGCAGGCCUACUGUAACACACACGGCUUGUUUCAGAGGAGCUCUAAAUAGCUGGGCUGGAAUAGCUCCCAUGUCACUCUGGGUUACUGCUGACACAUGAUAAAGUUACACUGGGAUAAAAAUGCCAUGGUAAAUCAGAUUGGAGCACCCUAAUGACUUUUGCAUGUUUGCUUAAAGCCAGGUUGUGACUGGUUCUACAGAAAAGCAGAGUGUAAUAAAGUCUUCCUUCAUCUUUCUCUGCA
ensembl:lncRNA